rnacentral:rRNA from 1 species
AGAAAUUCCAAUCGAACCUGGAGAUAGCUGGUUCUCUCCGAAAUAGCUUUAGGGCUAGCCUCAAGUGAUGAUUAUUGGAGGUAGAGCACUGUUUGGACGAGGGGCCCCUCUCGGGUUACCGAAUUCAGACAAACUCCGAAUGCCAAUUAAUUUAACUUGGGAGUCAGAACAUGGGUGAUAAGGUCCGUGUUCGAAAGGGAAACAGCCCAGACCACCAGCUAAGGUCCCAAAAUAUAUGUUAAGUGGAAAAGGAUGUGGCGUUGCCCAGACAACUAGGAUGUUGGCUUAGAAGCAGCCAUCAUUUAAAGAGUGCGUAAUAGCUCACUAGUCGAGUGACACUGCGCCGAAAAUGUACCGGGGCUAAACAUAUUACCGAAGCUGUGGAUUGUCCUUUGGACAAUGGUAGGAGAGCGUUCUAAGGGCGUUGAAGCAUGAUCGUAAGGACAUGUGGAGCGCUUAGAAGUGAGAAUGCCGGUGUGAGUAGCGAAAGACGGGUGAGAAUCCCGUCCACCGAUUGACUAAGGUUUCCAGAGGAAGGCUCGUCCGCUCUGGGUUAGUCGGGUCCUAAGCUGAGGCCGACAGGCGUAGGCGAUGGAUAACAGGUUGAUAUUCCUGUACCACCUAUAAUCGUUUUAAUCGAUGGGGGGACGCAGUAGGAUAGGCGAAGCGUGCGAUUGGAUUGCACGUCUAAGCAGUAAGGCUGAGUAUUAGGCAAAUCCGGUACUCGUUAAGGCUGAGCUGUGAUGGGGAGAAGACAUUGAGUCUUCGAGUCGUUGAUUUCACACUGCCGAGAAAAGCCUCUAGAUAGAAAAUAGGUGCCCGUACCGCAAACCGACACAGGUAGUCAAGAUGAGAAUUCUAAGGUGAGCGAGCGAACUCUCGUUAAGGAACUCGGCAAAAUGACCCCGUAACUUCGGGAGAAGGGGUGCUCUUUAGGGUUAACGCCCAGAAGAGCCGCAGUGAAUAGGCCCAAGCGACUGUUUAUCAAAAACACAGGUCUCUGCUAAACCGUAAGGUGAUGUAUAGGGGCUGACGCCUGCCCGGUGCUGGAAGGUUAAGAGGAGUGGUUAGCUUCUGCGAAGCUACGAAUCGAAGCCCCAGUAAACGGCGGCCGUAACUAUAACGGUCCUAAGGUAGCGAAAUUCCUUGUCGGGUAAGUUCCGACCCGCACGAAAGGCGUAACGAUUUGGGCACUGUCUCAACGAGAGACUCGGUGAAAUCAUAGUACCUGUGAAGAUGCAGGUUACCCGCGACAGGACGGAAAGACCCCGUGGAGCUUUACUGUAGCCUGAUAUUGAAAUUCGGCACAGCUUGUACAGGAUAGGUAGGAGCCUUUGAAACGUGAGCGCUAGCUUACGUGGAGGCGCUGGUGGGAUACUACCCUAGCUGUGUUGGCUUUCUAACCCGCACCACUUAUCGUGGUGGGAGACAGUGUCA